CAAUUUACGUACGCAUAUAAAAGAUACUACGCUCCGAAUCGUUUUUCGUAAGCGACGGUGUAUCGUUGAGUACAGAUGUAUCAAUUAAAUUCCCCACUUUUCAUCUAUAACAGUAACUCACCCAUCGUGUUUAGUAUGUGUCCGUUCUUUUAUUUUUUACUAAUUACUUACACCAUCGUAAAAUCGACAAAUCACGAAUGUUUUACUCGUAAAUAAUUCGAUAAAAUUUAAAACGCGCCCCAACGCGAAAUUAAUUUGUUUACGAAUCCGAAUAUGUUUCGAUUUUUAAAAUUUUUAAAUUUAGACCAUUUUUUUAUUUAUUUACUAGGAUUUCGAAAAUUAGCUUUCGGGAAUCUAGCACAUCGAAAACGGUUUCCUAAAAACGUUGAAAAAUCCCGAAAAAAGAAACAAAAUUAGAUUAGAAUAUUACAACAGACGUCCUAAUAUAUGCACGCCAUCGUCAUUAUAGGAUUUAUGGUUCUGUCUCAAUUUUACAACAAUCACUUAUCAGCUAUCGGUAAUUGAUGGCCACAUCGAUUUUACUCUUACGGCAUGUUUAUAAAAUGGAAUUCCUCGUCUCUGGCGGGCAAAAGCAGGCCGAUCAUCAACUUCAUCUAAUUAUGCAAUUCGAUACUUUCGUCAGUGUUUAAACCGUAGGUAACGUAAAAUAUUGGACAAGACGCAAAAACCUCAUUGCGUGGACAUUAAGCGAUAUUUUUUUAAGGUUGUAAUGUGGGACAAAUAUUCGCAAUAGUGAAACGAUACCGCGAUUAAACAUAAUAUAGUAUAGCAGUGAAACGUA